AGAAUCAACGCUGGCGGCGUGCCUAACACAUGCAAGUCGAACGAGAAAGUGGAGCAAUCCAUGAGUAAAGUGGCGCACGGGUGAGUAACACGUGACUAACCUACCCUUGAGUGGGGGAUAACCUAGGGAAACCUGGGCUAAUACCGCAUAAUACCUUCGGGUCAAAGGAGCAAUUCGCUUCAGGAGGGGGUCGCGGCCGAUUAGUUAGUUGGCGGGGUAAUGGCCCACCAAGACAGUGAUCGGUA
rnacentral:rRNA from 1 species